AUUGAACUGAAGAGUUUGAUCCUGGCUCAGAUUGAACGCUGGCGGCAUGCCUUACACAUGCAAGUCGAACGGCAGCACGGGGGCAACCCUGGUGGCGAGUGGCGAACGGGUGAGUAAUACAUCGGAACGUGUCCUGUAGUGGGGGAUAGCCCGGCGAAAGCCGGAUUAAUACCGCAUACGCUCUGCGGAGGAAAGCGGGGGCUCCUUCGGGACCUCGCGCUACAGGGGCGGCCGAUGGCAGAUUAGCUAGUUGGUGGGGUAAAGGCCUACCAAGGCGACGAUCUGUAGCUGGUCUGAGAGGACGACCAGCCACACUGGGACUGAGACACGGCCCAGACUCCUACGGGAGGCAGCAGUGGGG
rnacentral:rRNA from 1 species